GCCUACGGUGACACUACCCUGAAAGUGCUGCAUCUCAUGUGAUCUCAGAAGCUAAGCAGGAUCAACCUGGUUAGUACUGGGAUGAGAGCCACAGAUGGUUUAAAUGGAUCUCUUAAUAGAGAAUCCUGACAUCAUGUU
rnacentral:rRNA from 1 species